rnacentral:lncRNA from 10 species
CCCCACUCCCACUCGGAGGCCCCCUGCCCUCUCCCCCACUUCCCCCCGGCCCAUGGUGCGAGGCUGGGAGCCGCCGCCCGGGCUGGACUGCGUAUUAACUACACAGGGAGUCUCAAACCUGGCUGUACCCUGAGAACUUUUAAAAACUUUGGAUGCCUGGACCCCAGUACAGACUAUUGAACCUGAAUGGGAAGGAGGGUGGCCUG